rnacentral:rRNA from 1 species
UGUCUGAGUGUACUUUGGAGUCGGGUUGUUUGAGAAUGCAGCCCCAAAGUGGGUGGUAAACUCCCAUUCCAAGGCUCAAUACUGGCACGAGUCCGAUAGCGAACAAGUACCGUGAGGGAAAGUUGAAAAAGUACUCUGAAGAGAGAGUAAACACAGUACGUGAACCGCGCAAGGUAAACGGGUAGAGUUGAACUGCAAGCCUGCAAGAUUCAGCUGGUUUGGUUGCAAGGUUGGUGGUCCGUGCAGUAUCGGGUCAGUGCUCCUUGUGGGUGCUGUCGGAUGUGUGCUUAUCAGUGCGCAAUCCGCUGCCUUUCCUGUGUUGCCUGGCUAGUGCACUUCUUGUGGGUCUUCAUCACGACCGGCGCUGCUGUCAGUCUGCCUUGUCUAAACCAGUUGGGCUCGGUCCUUGUGGCCUUGUUCGGCUGGGAUGGCAGGUAGCCUGUUGGUUACUUCGGUGGCCUUCGGGUGUAAUAGCCAGACUUGGUGCGAUCUGUGCAGUGUGUCGGAGAUGGCGGUUGUAAUGGGUGGCGUGGAUGCCGGCUUUGUCUGGGCUUGAGUUGGUUGCCUUCCUGGUGGUCUUCUCUUGUGUUGGGCUCUGUUGGUUCUCUGCGUUGCUUUUAAUGGCCGAUAGUCUGUGAUGUAGUGGUAUGCUCUCUUCCCGACCCGUCUUGAAACACGGACCAAGGAGUUUAACAUGUGCGCGAGUCAUUGGGUAUUACGAAACCUACAGGCGCAAUGAAAGUGAAGGUUCGGCUUGUCUGAACUUAGGUGAGAUCCGGGCGUAUCUGUGUGCCUCUCGGGGUAUGCGGUGCGUUUGGCGCAUCACCGGCCCGUCCCAUGGUGUGGUCACGGCUCCUUGUGGGUUGUGCAUCACCGGGGUGGAGCAUGAGCGUACAUGUUGAGACCCGAAAGAUGGUGAACUAUGCUUGUGCAGGUUGAAGCCAGAGGAAACUCUGGUGGAGGACCGCAGCGAUUCUGACGUGCAAAUCGAUCGUCAAAC